GAAGGUGCUGGAACGCCUGCACCCGGGACUUGGCUAAGAAGCCGCUUGGAACGCCAGCUGUGUGCUACUCCUCGGGCGCGCGGAAAAAGCGAGGCUAGCUUUUUGGAAGUGUUCGCCCACUGCACUCAGCUCCUAAUCCCAGCCGUUGGAGCACAGAGUUUUGCCUCCUUCAGCUCUCGACCAGCCGGUUUCGCUAGAGAGACCUUAGCCGCCCCUGUGUAAUGAAGUGGCGGAGAGAAAGGCGUUGAAAAUACCUUGGGCUCUGGCUUUGAUAAAAUACGCUGCGAUAGGAGAGAGGCUCAGAGAGCAAAGGACCUGAAGGCAGCCUCUGGUUAACAGUAAGCAAUGAAUGGAGGCCCUCAUUUCAACAUCCCUUGAGGACCUGAGUCCUGUUAGCAGUUGCCUGUGUUAGACUGGAAGCAGACCCAUUUCUAGAUAUUAUUAUGCAGUAAAUUACAGUUAUUUCAAGAAAAACAUUUGAAGACCAUUUACAUUAACGAACUGAACCAAUUUGUCUUAUUUCCUUCUACUUGAGAAGAAAGUUAAAGCAGACUCUAGUGCAACUGUUUUUGUUUUGAAAAAAAAAAAUCAAAAAUUAUCCAGAAGCAAUAAGGAGUGGCCUUGAUCCUAAUGCUUUUAUUUAUGGAACCCAGACUCCACUUGGCCCCGCCACCACUGCAGUGCUAUGGAAGUGCCGCUCCACGAGGUCACUAUCUACGCUGCCUUUGAGUGUCUUCAGAAUGUUAUACAAGUACUCAGACCCAGUAGGAAUCUUUUUUUUUUUUUUUAA